rnacentral:rRNA from 1 species
UGGCUCAGAACGAACGCUGGCGGCGUACUUAACACAUGCAAGUCGAACGAGGAUCGUCAGUGUAGCAAUACAUUGGCGGUCCUAGUGGCGCACGGGUGAGUAACACGUGGGUGACCUGCCCUAGAGUUCGGGAUACCCCCUCGAAAGGGGGGCUAAUACCGGAUACGUUCCCUGGUUGAAAGAUCGGGGAGGAAAGGUGGCGCAAGCUGCCGCUCUUGGAGGGGCUCCCGGCCUAUCAGCUAGUUGGCGGGGUAACGGCCCACCAAGGCAAAGACGGGUAGCUGGUCUGAGAGGAUGACCAGCCACACGUUUUCUGAGACACGGGACCCACUCCUACGGGAUUCAGUCAGUGGG